AUUGAACGCUGGCGGCAUGCCUUACACAUGCAAGUCGAACGGCAGCACGGGUGCUUGCACCUGGUGGCGAGUGGCGAACGGGUGAGUAAUACAUCGGAACGUACCUUAUCGUGGGGGAUAACGCAGCGAAAGCUGUGCUAAUACCGCAUACGCCCUGAGGGGGAAAGCGGGGGAUCGAAAGACCUCGCGCGAUUAGAGCGGCCGAUGCCUGAUUAGCUUGUUGGUGGGGUAAAAGCCCACCAAGGCGACGAUCAGUAGCUGGUCUGAGAGGACGAUCUGCCACACUGGGACUGAGACACGGCCCAGACUCCUACGGGAGGCAGCAGUGGGGAAUUCUGGACAAUGGGGGCAACCCUGAUCCAGCAAUGCCGCGUGAGUGAAGAAGGCCUUCGGGUUGUAAAGCUCUUUUGUCAGGGAAGAAACACCGGCUCUAACACAGUCCGGGAAUGACGGUACCUGAAGAAUAAGCACCGGCUAACUACGUGCCAGCAGCCGCGGUAA
rnacentral:rRNA from 1 species